GGGGUUGUGGCUCAUUGGUAAAGCGCUUGCCUCACAUGCAUGAGGCCCUGGGUUUAAUCCUCAGCACCA
rnacentral:tRNA from 1 species